ensembl:lncRNA
GGAAGGCGGCGCGGCCACGCCCUUCGCUGUGGAGAGCCGCGCCCGGGUCCGCCCCACAGCCCGCGGCUGCCCCAUAGCCGCCCCAUAUCCGCCCCAUAGCUGCCUCAGAGCCGCCCUAUAGCCGCCCCAUGGUGGCAUAGGGAUCCACCCCUGUGCUCCACGGCGCCCCAUAGCGCGCUGCAGUGGGGACAGAGCGGUGUCCCCCCAAAAAAUUGGACUCCCUCCCUCCCCCCCCCAAAGCUGAGCGCUGCGGACUGCCCCGUGGUGCUGAGGUUUCGUCGCCUCCGAAGGACAGCAGCGGCCGCAGCCCCCCCCUUCCCCCCCAUUCACUGCGUUCCCCUCUUUGAGUCCGCCCCGAGGGGAGGGGGGUGUGGGAAAAAGGGGCGGAGCCUCCGCCCGCGCGGGAGAGAUCUCUCAGCCAAUCGAAGAGAAGGAGCGGUUCCCACGGUUCCAUUGAUGAAAAAAGGCGAAGAGGGACCUUUCCUUGGAAGCCCUCCCCGGCGGGGGGGGGGGCUGUUAAACUUGGGGGGGGGCUCAGUGUGAGAGAGGGAGGGUCCCAAAGGGGAUCAGUGUGAUUGGG